GUGGCGGACGGGUGAGUAACGCGUGAGUAACCUGCCUUUCAGAGGGGGGAUAACGUUCUGAAAAGAACGCUAAUACCGCAUGACACUUUGGGAUCGCAUGAUUUUGAAGUCAAAGGAGCAAUCCGCUGAAAGAUGGACUCGCGUCCGAUUAGAUAGUUGGCGGGGUAACGGCCCACCAAGUCGACGAUCGGUAGCCGGACUGAGAGGUUGAACGGCCACAUUGGGACUGAGACACGGCCCAG
rnacentral:rRNA from 1 species